rnacentral:rRNA from 1 species
UUUGUGGUUCAACUGAUUUGAAGAGCUUGCUCAGAUAUGACGAUGGACAUUGCAAAGAGUGGCGAACGGGUGAGUAACACGUGGGAAACCUACCUCUUAGCAGGGGAUAACAUUUGGAAACAGAUGCUAAUACCGUAUAACAAUGACAACCGCAUGGUUGUUAUUUAAAAGAUGGUUCUGCUAUCACUAAGAGAUGGUCCCGCGGUGCAUUAGCUAGUUGGUAAGGUAAUGGCUUACCAAGGCGAUGAUGCAUAGCCGAGUUGAGAGACUGAUCGGCCACAAUGGGACUGAGACACGGCCCAUACUCCUACGGGAGGCAGCAGUAGGGAAUCUUCCACAAUGGGCGAAAGCCUGAUGGAGCAACGCCGCGUGUGUGAUGAAGGGUUUCGGCUCGUAAAACACUGUUGUAAGAGAAGAAUGACAUUGAGAGUAACUGUUCAAUGUGUGACGGUAUCUUACCAGAAAGGAACGGCUAAAUACGUGCCAGCAGCCGCGGUAAUACGUAUGUUCCAAGCGUUAUCCGGAUUUAUUGGGCGUAAAGCGAGCGCAGACGGUUAUUUAAGUCUGAAGUGAAAGCCCUCAGCUCAACUGAGGAAUUGCUUUGGAAACUGGAUGACUUGAGUGCAGUAGAGGAAAGUGGAACUCCAUGUGUAGCGGUGAAAUGCGUAGAUAUAUGGAAGAACACCAGUGGCGAAGGCGGCUUUCUGGACUGUAACUGACGUUGAGGCUCGAAAGUGUGGGUAGCAAACAGGAUUAGAUACCCUGGUAGUCCACACCGUAAACGAUGAGUGCUAGGUGUUUGAGGGUUUCCGCCCUUAAGUGCCGCAGCUAACGCAUUAAGCACUCCGCCUGGGGAGUACGACCGCAAGGUUGAAACUCAAAGGAAUUGACGGGGACCCGCACAAGCGGUGGAGCAUGUGGUUUAAUUCGAAGCAACGCGAAGAACCUUACCAGGUCUUGACAUCCCUUGACAACUCCAGAGAUGGAGCGUUCCCUUCGGGGACAAGGUGACAGGUGGUGCAUGGUUGUCGUCAGCUCGUGUCGUGAGAUGUUGGGUUAAGUCCCGCAACGAGCGCAACCCUUAUUACUAGUUGCCAGCAUUCAGUUGGGCACUCUAGUGAGACUGCCGGUGACAAACCGGAGGAAGGUGGGGAUGACGUCAAAUCAUCAUGCCCCUUAUGACCUGGGCUACACACGUGCUACAAUGGCGUAUACAACGAGUUGCCAACCCGCGAGGGUGAGCUAAUCUCUUAAAGUACGUCUCAGUUCGGAUUGUAGGCUGCAACUCGCCUACAUGAAGUCGGAAUCGCUAGUAAUCGCGGAUCAGCACGCCGCGGUGAAUACGUUCCCGGGUCUUGUACACACCGCCCGUCACACCAUGAGAGUUUGUAACACCCAAAGCCGGUGGGGUAA